rnacentral:misc_RNA from 1 species
GGAAAUGGAUGGAGGCAUUUGAUCAUGCAAAGCAACAUGCUGAAUAUGAGCUCUCAAGAGGAGGUAGUACCAGAAACAAGUUGAACAAGGAGACUGAGAUCAAUCUAGAAGGACAUCGGCCUAGAGUGAGGCGUUAUGCACAUGGAUUAAAAAAGCUUAUAAGAAUUGGGCAAGGUCCAGAGAUGCUGUUGCGUCAAGCUUCAGCUUUGCACACUACUGCCAAGUCGGAUAGAUAUUAUGAGGGGGAGAAUGGAGAUGCAAUUGAAGCACAUGAAUGGAAAUGUGUUCGUAUGAUAAAUGGCGUUCGAAUCUUUGAGGACGUGUCUGAUUCCAAGAAUAAUAGAGGUGUUCUCGUAAAGGCUGUUGGUGUUAUUGAUACUAGUGCUGAUACCAUUUUUGAAGUCAUUUUAAGCAUUGACCGGCAUCAAAGAUACGAGUGGGAUACUUUGGCAGGUGACUUGGAGCUGUUAGCUUCUUAUGAUGGACACUAUGAUGUUGUCUAUGGGACAUAUGAUCCAAAAUAUCUUACUUGGUGGCAAUCCAGAAGAGAUUUUCUCUUCUCAAGGCAAUGGUUUAGCAGCCAGGAUGGAACAUAUACCAUCUUGCAAUUUCCAGCUGUACAUAAGACACGACCUCCUAGAUCUGGAUAUCGACGUACAAAAAUCAACCCUUCUACUUGGGAGAUUAGAAAUUUAAACACACCCUUGGAUUCAAAUUCUAUGAGAUGUAUUGUGACACGAACGUUAGAGAUACAUCAUGCAGGAUGGUGUAGAUGGAAGAGAAAUCGCUGCUCAAAGUUUGAAAAGACUCUUCCUUACGCAUUGUUGUCCCAAGUGGCAGGUUUGAAGGAAUAUAUUAGAGCGAAUCCAGCUUUGGAAUCUAAAUAUGCCACUAUAGUUGUCCAUUCCAAAGAUUUUGAUGAUUCUGUCUCUAGUAGUGAAUAUGAUGAUGCAGAAGUAAAGGAUGAGUUCUAUGAUGCGAUUUCUGCUGAUUCAUCAUCAUCUGAAGGGAGUGAUGAUGAAGAUCAUCUAAAGAAUGAGGAAAAGAUAGUGAAAUUGAAGAAUGUUUCAUGGGCCAUCACAAGUUUGGCUUUGAGGCGAACUUCAGUUCUGGAUGUAAAUAAGGAAUUGGAUCCUUGUGAAACUCUAAUGGAUAUUGAUCUAAGCCAAUUCCAUGGCUCCCUACCCAAAGGGAAGGAUGAGAAGGACUCAAAUUGUUGGACCUCUCCAAGUG